AGUGAACGCUGGCGGUAGGCCUAACACAUGCAAGUCGAACGGCAGCACAGUAAGAGCUUGCUCUUACGGGUGGCGAGUGGCGGACGGGUGAGGAAUACAUCGGAAUCUACUUUUUCGUGGGGGAUAACGUAGGGAAACUUACGCUAAUACCGCAUACGACCUACGGGUGAAAGUAGGGGAUCUUCGGACCUUGCGCGAUUGAAUGAGCCGAUGUCGGAUUAGCUAGUUGGCGGGGUAAAGGCCCACCAAGGCGACGAUCCGUAGCUGGUCUGAGAGGAUGAUCAGCCACACUGGAACUGAGACACGGUCCAGACUCCUACGGGAGGCAGCAGUGGGGAAUAUUGGACAAUGGGCGCAAGCCUGAUCCAGCCAUACCGCGUGGGUGAAGAAGGCCUCCGGGUUGUAAAGCCCUUUUGUUGGGAAAGAAAAGCAGCAGGUUAAUACCCCGCUGUUCUGACGGUACCCAAAGAAUAAGCACCGGCUAACUUCGUG
rnacentral:rRNA from 1 species